rnacentral:rRNA from 1 species
AACGAACGCUGGCGGCAUGCCUAACACAUGCAAGUCGAACGAGAUCUUCGGGUCUAGUGGCGCACGGGUGCGUAACGCGUGGGAAUCUGCCCUUGGGUUCGGAAUAACAGUUAGAAAUGACUGCUAAUACCGGAUGAUGUCUUCGGACCAAAGAUUUAUCGCCCCAGGAUGAGCCCGCGUAGGAUUAGGUAGUUGGUGGGGUAAUGGCCCACCAAGCCGACGAUCCUUAGCUGGUCUGAGAGGAUGAUCAGCCACACUGGGACUGAGACACGGCCCAGACUCCUACGGGAGGCAGCAGUGGGGAAUAUUGGACAAUGGGCGAAAGCCUGAUCCAGCAAUGCCGCGUGAGUGAUGAAGGCCUUAGGGUUGUAAAGCUCUUUUACCAGGGAUGAUAAUGACAGUACCUGGAGAAUAAGCUCCGGCUAACUCCGUGCCAGCCGCCGCGGUAA